UACGGGGGGGGCAAGCGUUGUUCGGAAUUACUGGGCGUAAAGGGCUCGUAGGCGGCCAACUAAGUCAGACGUGAAAUCCCUCGGCUUAACCGGGGAACUGCGUCUGAUACUGGAUGGCUUGAAUCCGGGAGAGGGAUGCGGAAUUCCAGGUGUAGCGGUGAAAUGCGUAGAUAUCUGGAGGAACACCGGUGGCGAAGGCGGCAUCCUGGACCGGCAUUGACGCUGAGGAGCGAAGGCCAGGGGAGCAAACGGG
rnacentral:rRNA from 1 species